GCCUGCGCUGGGUGAAGCUGGAGAGCCGGAGAUUGACCGCUAGCAGGUCUUGUCCCUGUAGAAUCCACCGGGCAGGUGAGAGCAGCGAAGUGCGGAAUGCGUCGUGAAGCUUAACAGUCACUUAUAAACGACAAAAAGACAGUCAAUGGGUUUAUACUGCCAUACACAUCAAUUUUAUAAAGUUUGUCCGUUGGUCAGCUGAACCAAUCCGGUUUUAUGAGACAAUCAAGAAGAGUGACUUUUCCAACAAAGAUAUACAAAGAAGUGACAUCACUGAGGAAACAGAGCAGUGUCUGCAGCACUUCUCGGUUUUCAUCUGACAUCAACAUGAUGGCUGCCUGGACAGCUUGCAACCUUUGUUCCUUUGGCACAUCUAGCACAUUUGAGAGAAUUGGUUCUAUUAUUUUUGCUUUACAGACACAGUGAUAGAAGAGAGAAAAGCAAUCAUGAACUGUCAGUGGUAGUUUACUAGGUUUGAAUUGUCAUCCUCAGAGUCACAU